AGACAACACGCUCAGAAGGGCAGUCCGGGGGGGCUACUGCCUGCCUUGUAGGGUUUGGAUCUCACACCGGACUCUAAACCCCAGGAGUGAAGAAAGCUCAAUACUCUCCUAAUCCUGGGAAUGACCUUAAUAUCACGAGAAUGAGGAAGAUAUUGAACCUGCAAGGAGAGAGAAUGGAAAGAAGGAUGGAUGAGACGUGGCAAAAGGCUAUCAAACAAAGCUGCCCAACCUUACACUCAUCCAUCAACCCUGAGUUAUUAAGAGAAUAACUGCAGAACAUUUACAAGUGGAUGGGAUGGAGUGCUGGCUGCUUUUCAAGAACACAGAGUCAGUGCUACAAAAACU